rnacentral:tRNA from 1 species
GUCCCUGUAGCGCAAUGGAUAGCGCGUUGGACUUCUAAUCCCAAAGGUCGUGGGUUCGAAUUCCACCUAGGAUG